UACGGAGGGUGCAAGCGUUAUCCGGAUUCACUGGGUUUAAAGGGUGCGUAGGAGGGCAGGUAAGUCAGUGGUGAAAUCUUCGAGCUUAACUUGGGAACUGCCAUUGAUACUAUCAGUCUUGAAUACUGUGGAGGUUAGCGGAAUAUGUCAUGUAGCGGUGAAAUGCUUAGAUAUGACAUAGAACACCAAUUGCGAAGGCAGCUGGCUACACAAAUAUUGACACUGAGGCUCGAAAGCGUGGGGAUCAAACAGG
rnacentral:rRNA from 1 species